rnacentral:rRNA from 1 species
UGAACGCUAGCGGGAGGCUUAAUACAUGCAAGUCGCGGGGUAACGAUGAACUUCGGUUCAGUCGACGACCGGCGCACGGGUGAGUAACGCGUACACGACCUACCUUACACUGAGGGAUAGCCCUGGGAAACUGGGAUUAAUACCUCAUGGUAUUAGAUAAUUGCGAUUUUCUAAUUAAAGGUUUCGACUGGUGUAAGAUGGGUGUGCGUUAGAUUAGCUAGUUGGUAAGGUAAUGGCUUACCAAGGCGACGAUCUAUAGGGGGCGUGAGAGCGUGGACCCCCACACGGGUACUGAGACACGGACCCGACUCCUACGGGAGGCAGCAGUAAGGAAUAUUGGACAAUGGGGGCAACCCUGAUCCAGCCAUCCCGCGUGCAGGAUGACGGCCCUAUGGGUUGUAAACUGCUUUUAUCAGGGAAGAAAAUUACGGGUUUACCUGUAACUGACGGUACCUGAGGAAUAAGCACCGGCUAACUCC